rnacentral:rRNA from 1 species
CGGAGAGGGUGGGAGGAGAAGAAGCAGAAUAGGCGAGUCUGGUGAUGCAGAGAGAGCAGAGUGAGGGUGUCUGGAGCCGGCCAACGGCAAGCAGUUGUCCUCCGAGCCGCGGCGCCCACGCAGCGCCGUUCCUCACGUCUAGACGUAGACGAGUAGGGGUGUUCCGGUCUACAGACUACAACCAUCGUCGGAACCAUCGCGUCGGCCACCACCUCUUCUACCGUCCCGUUAGAGACUACCCAGACUUCAAGUCUAUCUCCUGGUCGUUGGUCAGGGGGGUGGAUACGGUUGUAGAGCCUAGAGACACUUUGUACGUCAACUUCAGUAAGUCUGCAAACUACUCAUGUUCUCCACCAACCAUGUUCUUUAGCCCAAACCACCUUACAACUUCAACGGGUACGCCGUCUUCGAAUUAGAGUUUAAGUCACGUACCUGUUACUCGUUCCAAUCACAUAGAGUCACGCGUUAAUAUAAUUAGAGUUUCUUCGACUUCAAGACCGGCCUCCUACACGUGUUUCAUAAACCCUAUGAAACGCCAGUGGCGAGAUAGGCCCCCGCACUACCAGUGUAUUGCGGACUACGUUAAGUUAAGAAGUUCUUCUGAGAGCCCUACCUGUUUUUUCCACAAGUAUCGGACGCUCGGCGCCUCCUCAAGGAUGAUGCUCUACAUAGUCUCUGUAGAUCGUUCGAACUCUUCCUAACAAAAGUUUAACGAAAGCAGUAAAAACAGUACCCUGUGCACGAACGCGGUUGGUGUUUCGUACUAAUACGGUGGUAACUAAAAACCCCACGGGAACGUUUGUGGCUUUGUUAUAGUGUCAAGUUAACCACACUCAUGCACGAAGUCACGAACGAUCUUCAACAAUCUGCAGAGUUCUUCCUGUACGAAAGUUUGUUAGGUCCGUGAUUGGAACAACCAACAGUGGAAAAAGAAGUCCACAAGAAGGACGUGUCAUAACUGAAUCCGUAAAAGUUAUUCUUCGUAUUACACGAGGGGCAUAUUCACUUAAACUAGUCCUGACGUAAUCCUUGUACUAGUGUUACAGGUGACUGUAACCCUUCUUGGGGUGUAGUGUAAGUUUGUUGUUCGAUGCACGCCGUCUUCUACAAACGAUACGGACCGUCUUCAUAGGAGUCCUGGUUGGGUUGUGGGAAGAACGUCCGUGGUUGUCGCCACCGUUGUUGCGUAGGCGACGUACACCGCGUGUAGUCAAGAGGGCUUUACUGUUACGUUGUCACUGUGGGUGCGUGUUACAUAAUCUACAUGUAUGUGGUUAAGCGUGCGAACCCGGGUAACUAAAGUGUGUGAUGGAGGCGUGUGCGAUAGGGUUGAACCGUAGCCUACUCUAGUGACCUGACGAGUUACUUGUCUUACGGGCCCAUGUUGCAGUGUAUUUAUGUCGAGCACGUUUGCGAGUUAACCUGUACAAAUUUAAACGUCUAUUUGAAAAGUUACGUGAAAGGUUCUCCACGUAUACAACAAGGUAAUCUCCGAAAAGACUAACAGGUCGUUCUCGAUAGGGUCUUGGUGUUCGAUACUGGCGGUGCUGUGGACGAGCGGGGUUGUAUGGGCCACAGUCCGACCUGUACAGACGUACACUUCCACUAUCGAGAUGGAGGUUCUCUUGAGCAACGCCCCUAUGUGGACUAGGGGACGCGUUCGCGGUGACGAGACUUCCCCUUAGAGGGCGCCUAUAGUUGUACAGCUAACAAGCAAAACGGGUCAAGUGGAACGCUCGUUAGUCACUUGAUAAGUAGCUAGACGGGUUACUACCAUCAUGAUGUUAAAAGCCACUCGCCGCCCUUCUCGAUGGACCGGCGUUGAUACAAGUCGUGGGACCCAAGGUUUGACUAGGAACCCCGUCCCCACAGCAGGGCGGUGGGGGACGUUACUAUAUAGACUUGAAUAGGAAGUCAAAAAACGUAGCAGUAGGCACGUUCUUAAUACCUCCUUAAAGGACCAAGUACUCUACAGCUCCAAACGUGCGCAGUGACCUCACCGUUACUUUCUUGUUGAUCCCCCCUCUGGGAUUAACUAGUGCUCAACUACAGACAUUAGGAAGCAGCUAUAAGAGUCUAGCUGGUCGUUAUACUAGGUCUUACGGGUAUAGAAUGGACCGCAGUGGGAUAGCUCGGUCUAAAGGGCUGCGAACAGGACCGUCUCAUGCUAAAGGAGGUGUGGCACAGCUAGGUCUUGGUCGAACAACGACUAAGCGAAUUCAUACUAGAGUGAAGUCACCUCGACAAAAUGUGUGGACAAGGUGCCGGUCUCCCGACCUACCGACAAAAGAAGUUGUACGACUGAUCCCAGUAGACCCACUAACUGGGUGACAUGGUGUUGUUCAAUCGGACGGGUGGGUGCCCCGUUGCGCUACUCUAAUAUCGUACCUUCGACGUACUACGUAACAAGUGAACAGACUUACUUAAGAUGUGACCUACCGUUUGAUCGUUCCUAUUAACCUGAGAGUUCAAGGGAAGGUACUGGCUGACGUAAAAGAGGGCACGGCUGUGUCCGCCCACACAGGAGGUACACCGUUCCGUGAAACUACGAGUGUUCGACUUUUACGGUGAGUGGUUCCAUGUGUGUAAAGGUUAGAUACAGAGGGUACAAAGCGUGUAAUAUAGACGAUCCAAUGAUCACGUUUGGUAAGCGGUUACGUGUCAUAUGACACAGGUUUUGCUUUGCCCUACGGGACGUACUUACGGAGUUCGAGGUCCCUUUGAAGAGAAGGGAGUAGGUACUACGUAAGACCUUCCAGGAUCGAGGAAGUCUAAUACGUAAACUGAUCAUCCCUCAAUACAACUUACGCAACGGCCGAAAUCAGAACAACGUACCAAAUAGUUCAUCUAAUGUUUCAAUACAAGCAUCGUACCCAAUACAUACAGCCUGGACGCUCGUACAUACAUUCGUAGUUAAGUUUAGGGGGUCGUAAACCGUGGAUAGUAUAUAUAUGGUACAGUCUACACACAUGGGACCUAGAUACAAGUCAGCAUAUAGUUAGUAGCCUGGUUGAUAGUAAUAAACCGGAACGAGCAAGCAAACGUUUAAAGUUGAAGGUAAAUAGACGGGACAGCACGCUCGGACCAAACAAAGGUUCCCAGUUGUUGCUGACACUUGUACCCGUAACACAAGUAAGUCGUCAUUUCAGUACAUUAGGGUGAUUUAAUUUUAUUUAAGUAAAGGUUUAGUUGUUGUCUAUUUAGUGUGGUUGGUAAGCCAGAGUACAACACCGUUACUUAUCAACGGAUUAAGCAC